GACGUAGGGCGCGAGCGUUGUCCGGAUUUAUUGGGCGUAAAGAGCUCGUAGGCGGCUUGUCGCGUCGACUGUGAAAUCCCUCAGCUCAACUGGGGAACUGCGUCUGAUACUAGAUGGCUCGAGUGCAGGAGAGGAACGCGGAAUUCCAGGUGUAGCGGUGAAAUGCGUAGAUAUCUGGAGGAACACCGGUGGCGAAGGCGGCAUCCUGGACCGGUAUUGACGCUGAGGCGCGAAAGCUAGGGGAGCAAACGGG
rnacentral:rRNA from 1 species